CUGGGCAAGUAUGCAUGGCGUGCAUUGAUCUUCAUCUUGUGCACAUGCUUCAGGUGAUCGAAAUCGGAACGCACUACAGCACCAGCACUUUGAACAGUUGAUUAUAUUCUACUUUCCUGUGGAUAUAUUGCCUCACAUUCCUACCUACAAAAGGACCAACUGCACGGAACCCUGGUAAAUAAACCAAAGGGAAGGAUGAUCUGAGGAUAUCCUGAUGUAGCAAAGGAUCGUUCACUUAUAAACCAGGUCGGUUGCCUGAUGUGACUGUCUCUUGCUCCUGCUCUCCUUCGCCAUCUCCCGGCAGCCACUGUCAGGGUGAGGAUGCCCAUUGGCACCUGCCCCCACAGCUGGCACAGCAACCCUACAGCCAGGGCCACAGGAUGAGGAGGUGUUCCUGUUUGAGGAGGGAGACCUGAACCUGUGGGCCGAGCCUGUCCAGUGGAUGCAGCUGCUACACAGAUACCUGGGUGUCCUCUUCAAAGCCCCAGAGCUGAAGGCUCUGAACCAGAACCAGGCAGAGCUCCUCAGUCUGUCAGCCCAGGAAGAUGCCAUGUCCCUGGCCACCCAUCAGGCUCUGGAGGGCCUCCCAGCCCUGGCCCAGUUCUCCUGCACCAUAGAGCAUGCCCGGCUGGCCUGCAGCAGGAGAGGGCCACACUGGCUACGGGUUUCAGACUCCCAAGAAACAUUCUGAAUGUAACACUUAUACAAGCAAUAUACACAUUUUUUUGGACUAAAAUGGUUUGUUUUUAUCAGCGACGGAUGUAUGGGUUUUAGAAGGGAAUGUAAAGUGUUUAAGUUUUGAGUUUUGUCUGUGUUUUUCAAAGUAAAGAUGCCUAAUUCAUGUCUCGCGAUUCUUGAAAACAACCACAGGGUGGUAUGUGUAUGGAUUUGUUUUUAAUCUAAUAUGUAUUAGCACGUUUUCCAGUGGACUCUUUUCAUCCCUUCGCAUAGGUUUUUCUGCCUCCUUGGUUUCCUAGGUUACGUAAUUAGGAGGGCAACACAAUGGUCCACUGUCCUGUGUUAGCGACUGCCCAGACAGCUGGGCAGUCUUGCGCUGUAGUAUGGCAGUGUUCCCUGUAGAAAUGAUGUAAUGUUCUGGAACUCUUGAACAUCCCCCAAUAAAAACAGCACUGUGUGAUGAGUGUUUUUUUUUUGCGGAUGAGGACAUGUUCAAGGGAUUUCUCAAAGUUUGAGGCUUGCCCAUCUGUCCUUGACGUUAGACCGUCGUUUUUAUCAUAAACGCUCAUUUAGGCAGAGUACAGCCCCAGCUCUAAUUUAAGGGUUUGUAGUAGUAGAUUCCAACCCGUUAUGUCAUUUGUUUUCGGCUGUUGCUAUUUGGCUUUUUUUU